rnacentral:rRNA from 1 species
UAAUGGCCCACCAAGGCAAAGAUCGGUAGCCGGCCUGAGAGGGCGCACGGCCACACUGGAACUGAAACACGGUCCAGACUCCUACGGGAGGCAGCAGUGGGGAAUUUUGCGCAAUGGGGGAAACCCUGACGCAGCAACGCCGCGUGGAGGAUGAAGUCCCUUGGGACGUAAACUCCUUUCGACCCGGACGAUAAUGACGGUACGGGUGGAAGAAGCCCCGGCUAACUUCGUGCCAGCAGCCGCGGUAAUACGAGGGGGGCAAGCGUUGUUCGGAAUUAUUGGGCGUAAAGGGCGCGUAGGCGGUGCGGUAAGUCACCUGUGAAACCUCUAGGCUUAACUGAGGGACUGGCUCGGAUACUGUUUUUCUUGAGGCAAUCAGAGGGUGAUGGAAUUCCCGGUGUAGCGGUGAAAUG